GCAUCGAUGAAAGACGCAGCGAAAUGCGAUAAGUAAUGUGAAUUGCAGAAUUCAGUGAAUCAUCGAAUCUUUGAACGCACAUUGCGCCCAUUAGUAUUCUAGUGGGCAUGCCUGUUCGAGCGUCAUU
rnacentral:rRNA from 1 species